rnacentral:rRNA from 1 species
ACUCCUACGGGAGGCAGCAGUGGGGAAUAUUGCACAAUGGGGGAAAGCCCUGAUGCAGCCAUGCCGCGUGUGUGAAGAAGGCCUUCGGGUUGUAAAGCACUUUUCAGUCGUGAGGAAAGGUAGUGUAGUUUAAAUAGCUGCAUUUAUUUGACGUUAGCGACAGAAGAAAGCACCGGCUAACUCCGUGCCAGCAGCCGCGGUAAUACGGAGGGUGCGAGCGUUAAUCGGAAUUACUGGGCGUAAAGCGCAUGCAGGUGGUUUGUUAAGUCAGAUGUGAAAGCCCGGGGCUCAACCUCGGAAUUGCAUUUGAAACUGGCAGACUAGAGUACUGUAGAGGGGGGUGAGAAUUUCAGGUGUAGCGGUGAAAUGCGUAGAGAUCUGAAGGAAUACCGGUGGCGAAGGCGGCCCCUGGACAGAUACUGACACUCAGAUGCGAAAGCGUGGGAGCAAAACAGGAUUAGAUACCCUGAUAGGCUCUGCU